rnacentral:rRNA from 1 species
UGGGGAAUCUUGCACAAUGGGGGCAACCCUGAUGCAGCGACGCCGCGUGAGCGAUGAAGCCCUUCGGGGCGUAAAGCUCUUUCGACCGGAACGAUAAUGACGGUACCGGGAGGAGAAGCUGCGGCUAACUACGCGCCAGCAGCCGCGGUAAUACGUAGGCAGCAAGCGUUGUUCGGAGUUACUGGGCGUAAAGAGUGCGUAGGCGGUUUUCUAAGUUCGGUGUGAAAUCUCCCGGCUUAACUGGGAGGGUGCGCCGAAGACUGGGAAGCUGGAGUGUGGGAAAGGCAGGCGGAAUUCCUGGUGUAGCGGUGAAAUGCGUAGAUAUCAGGAGGAACACCGGCGGUGUAGACGGCUUGCUAGACCAUAACUGACGCUGAGGCACGAAAGCGUGGGUAGCAAACA